rnacentral:rRNA from 1 species
CCCUUAGAUGUUCUGGACCGCACGCGUGCUACACUGAGUGGAUCAGCGGGUCAGGUUGCGCGAAAGUGUUUCCUAAUCUUGAAAUCCGCUCGUGAUGGGGAUUGACGGUUGCAAUUUUCCGUCAUGAACGAGGAAUACCUUGUAAGCGCGGGUCAUCAUCCCGCGCUGAAUACGUCCCUGCCCUUUGUACACACCGCCCGUCGCUCCUACCGAUUGAGUGGUCCGGUGAGGCUUUGGGAUCUGAGCAAAGAGAGCGUUUCGCUCGUUUUGCCCGGAAAACUCAGUCGAACCUUAUCAUUUAGAGGAAGGAGAAGUCGUAACA